UGGGGAAUAUUGGACAAUGGGCGCAAGCCUGAUCCAGCAACGCCGCGUGGAGGAUGAAGGUCUUCGGAUCGUAAACUCCUGUCAGGUGGGACGAAGGUAGGAGGGUGAAUAAUCUUCCUGCUUGACGGUACCACCAGAGGAAGCCCCGGCUAACUCCGUGCCAGCAGCCGCGGUAAUACGGAGGGGGCAAGCGUUAUUCGGAAUUAUUGGGCGUAAAGGGCGCGUAGGCGGCUUGACAAGUCAAAGGUGAAAUCCCUCGGCUCAACUGAGGAACUGCCUUUGAAACUGUCUGGCUUGAGGCCGGGAGGGGGUAGCGGAAUUCCCAGUGUAGCGGUGAAAUGCGUAGAUAUUGGGAGGAACACCAGUGGCGAAGGCGGCUACCUGGACCGGUUCUGACGCUGAUGCGCGAAAGCGUGGGUAGCAAACAGG
rnacentral:rRNA from 1 species